CUUGGUGGCCUGCCAGUUGUACAUGGGCUCCCGGAACAAAAGCUACAAAGCCCAUGAAGAUUGAACAGUUUGAAAUUCUGCCAAGAGGAAGAUUCUGAGAAGUUAAGUGAAAGGUGGUUCUCAUUGUUGGAGAAAGGAAAUUUUUAUAACGCAUUACCCUCAGUGUGAAGAUUAUCUCCAAUGAUGCGUCUUAACUAGAUUGAUAUUGAUAAUUCUAUUUUACUCAGUCACAAUGUAAGAAUUAUGUCA